rnacentral:rRNA from 2 species
UACGUAGGGUCCAAGCGUUAUCCGGAAUCACUGGGCGUAAAGCGUGCGUAGGUGGCGUGUUAAGUGUGAUGUUAAAUCGUGUGGCUCAACCAUAUCGAUGUGUCGCAUACUGGCAUGCUAGAGGACAGCAGAGGCAAGUGGAAUUAGUAGUGUAGCAGUGAAAUGCGUAGAUAUUACUAGGAACACCAAUGGCGAAGGCAGCUUGCUGGGCUACUCCUGACACUGAGGUACGAAAGCGUGGGGAGCGAACAGG